AGGACGAACGCUGGCGGCACGCUUAACACAUGCAAGUCGAACGGAGUUUAGAGAGCUUGCUUUUAAAACUUAGUGGCGGACGGGUGAGUAACACGUGAGCAAUCUGCCUUCAGAGGGGGGAUAGCAGUUGGAAACGACUGAUAAUACCGCAUAAUAUAGUAGGAUCGCAUGAUUUAACUAUCAAAGAUUUAUCGCUGAAAGAUGAGCUCGCGUCUGAUUAGAUAGUUGGUGAGGUAACGGCUCACCAAGUCGACGAUCAGUAGCCGGACUGAGAGGUUGAACGGCCACAUUGGGACUGAGACACGGCCCAGACUCCUACGGGAGGCAGCAGUGGGGAAUAUUGCACAAUGGGCGCAAGCCUGAUGCAGCGAUGCCGCGUGAGGGAAGAAGGUUUUAGGAUUGUAAACCUCUGUCUUCAGGGACGAUAAUGACGGUACCUGAGGAGGAAGCUCCGGCUAACUACGUGCCAGCAGCAGC
rnacentral:rRNA from 1 species